rnacentral:rRNA from 1 species
CAGCCGCCACGGUAAUACGAAGGGUGCAAGCGUUACUCGGAAUUACUGGGCGUAAAGCGUGCGUAGGUGGUGGUUUAAGUCCGUUGUGAAAGCCCUGGGCUCAACCUGGGAAUUGCAGUGGAUACUGGGUCACUAGAGUGUGGUAGAGGAUAGUGGAAUUUCCGGUGUAGCAGUGAAAUGCGUAGAGAUCGGAAGGAACAUCUGUGGCGAAGGCGACUAUCUGGGCCAACACUGACACUGAGGCACGAAAGCGUGGGGAGCAAACAGGAUUAGAUACCCCUGUAGUCCUGUCUCUUAUACC